UCUAGGUUUCAUUUAAAUAUGACACCAUGGUUUGGAGUCCUAAGCCAUAAACAAUAAGCCAGAAUGAUUCUGCAGCUUUCAAAAGAAGAAAAGUCUGCAAACUUUGCAUGGAAACACACCACACAGCAUUUCUGAUGUCUUUACUGUCCCCUGGUCAUUGUCUUGUGCCCAUUGGAGGAGUUGUAGGAGUGCAGACCAUGGACAUUUGAGUCACUGAGUCUUCAAAAGGCCAUUUCACCCCAUAGCCCUGUCAGGUUGACACAUCAAAUUAACCAUCACGGGAUUCAAGCAAGAGAAUACCAGGUCAGAAUGAAUUUGGUGCUUCUGAAAGAAAGCCAGGGGGUUGGAGGAUAAUGAGAGGGAGGUAAUAGGCAAGAGAU
rnacentral:lncRNA from 10 species